rnacentral:rRNA from 1 species
AUUGAACGCUGGCGGCAGGCCUAACACAUGCAAGUCGAACGGUAACAGGAAGCAGCUUGCUGCUUUGCUGACGAGUGGCGGACGGGUGAGUAAUGUCUGGGAAACUGCCCGAUGGAGGGGGAUAACUACUGGAAACGGUAGCUAAUACCGCAUAACGUCGCAAGACCAAAGAGGGGGACCUUAGGGCCUCUUGCCAUCGGAUGUGCCCAGAUGGGAUUAGCUAGUAGGUGGGGUAACGGCUCACCUAGGCGACGGUCCCUAGCUGGUCUGAGAGGAUGACCAGCCACACUGGAACUGAGACACGGUCCAGACUCCUACGGGAGGCAGCAGUGGGGAUAUUGCACAAUGGGCGCAAGCCUGAUGCAGCCAUGCCGCGUGUAUGAAGAAGGCCUUCGGGUUGUAAAGUACUUUCAGCGGGGAGGAAGGGAGUAAAGUUAAUACCUUUGCUCAUUGACGUUACCCGCAGAAGAAGCACCGGCUAACUCCGUG